rfam:Nematostella vectensis strain CH2 x CH6 NEMVEscaffold_3738_Cont46083, whole genome shotgun sequence.
GUUGCGGUGGCCGAGUGGUUAAGGCGUUGGAUUCGAAAUCCAAUGGGACCUUCCCGCGCAGGUUCAAAUCCUGCCCCCAACG